rnacentral:rRNA from 1 species
UACGAAGGUGGCAAGCGUUGUUCGGAUUUACUGGGCGUACAGGGAGCGUAGGCGGUUGGAUAAGCCCUCCGUGAAAUCUCCAGGCUUAACCUGGAAAGUGCAGAGGGGACUGUUCAGCUAGAGGAUGGGAGAGGAGCGCGGAAUUCCCGGUGUAGCGGUGAAAUGCAUUGAUAUCCAUAGGAACUCCGGUGGCGAAGGCGGCACGCUGGACCUCUUCUGACGCUGAGGCGCGAAAGCCAGGGGAGCAAACGGG